rnacentral:rRNA from 1 species
UACGAAGGGGGCGAGCGUUGUUCGGAUUUACUGGGCGUAAAGGGCGCGUAGGCGCCUUGUCAGUCAGGCGUGAAAGCCCCGGGCUCAACCUGGGAACGGCAUUUGGGACUGCAAGGCUAGAGUGUGGCAGAGGAGACUGGAAUUCCCGGUGUAGCAGUGAAAUGCGUAGAUAUCGGGAGGAAUACCGAUGGCGAAGGCAGGUCUCUGGGCUGACACUGACGCUCAUGCACGAAAGCGUGGGGAGCAAACAGG